UGAGGCAUCUUGUCUCUGAAAAGAACUGUUUGAAAUGACCAGCUGUUUGAAAAUAACUUAAUUUACAACCAUCAUGGCAGUGUCAGGGAUUGUGUUUCUUCCCUCUUUUAUUUUGUUAGUUAUUUGCUUUGUUUUGGGUUUGAGUUUUUAUUGUCGUUGGAACCGUCAUUCAGACGCCACUCCUCGUGUGUUCCUACCUCCUGUGUCCUCCCUCGACGCUGUCGGUGUUACCGGUCAGACGCCACUCCUCGUGUGUUCAUCUUCUCCCUUCGUCGAUCCUUCUCCGGUGGAUUCCCCUUCGGGACUUUCCGGGUCUGGAGACCCAAGCCCGAACCCAACCGGAGAAAAAGUACUACUAAACCGAAGUCAAGGCCGCUCCUCCAUCCGUUAACUAACCUGUCCGCUCUCCAACGAGUCAUACAAACCAACGCUAUACUCAAGUCCUCCUCACCUCCCUACCAAUAAGACGACCCGGUCCUCAGUUCCAGUAUUCAUUUCCCAUUCCCUUUUCCCUGACUUCAAUAAAUCAUCAUUGUACUUUUA